CGCGCAGGCGGCCUUUUAAGUCUGAUGUGAAAGCCCCCGGCUCAACCGGGGAGGGCCAUUGGAAACUGGAAGGCUUGAGUACAGAAGAGAAGAGUGGAAUUCCACGUGUAGCGGUGAAAUGCGUAGAGAUGUGGAGGAACACCAGUGGCGAAGGCGACUCUUUGGUCUGUAACUGACGCUGAGGCGCGAAAGCGUGGGGAGCAAACAGGAUUAGAUACCCCCGUA
rnacentral:rRNA from 1 species